AAAAAGGUAGCUAUAACCAUCAAACGAAAGGAACGUGCCAUACGCAUACAUACAUAUGCAAGCAAACAUUUCUCUGCUGGUACUUAUGUCUGAGUCCCACACAGCCAAUGACAGCAAUCCCUGGAUGCUCCGUAAAGGAACUGGGCCAGACCUCCUGGACUGCACUGCAUCUGACUCACGCCACAUCAACUGACUCCGACCAGAGCCUCCAGUACUGGCUUCAAUCAAGUUAAGGAUUUCAACCUAGAUCUUCAAUCAAGCAAAUCCCAUCUAACAUGCACUGGAGAUAACCCGU